UAAUACGUAGGUGGCAAGCGUUGUCCGGAUUUACUGGGCGUAAAGAGUAUGUAGGCGGAUAUUUAAGUCAGAUGUGAAAUUCCCGGGCUUAACCUGGGCGCUGCAUUUGAUACUGGAUAUCUAGAGUGUGGGAGAGGAAAGCGGAAUUCCUAGUGUAGCGGUGAAAUGCGUAGAGAUUAGGAAGAACACCAGUGGCGAAGGCGGCUUUCUGGACCAUAACUGACGCUGAGAUACGAAAGCGUGGGGAGCAAACAGG
rnacentral:rRNA from 1 species